rnacentral:lncRNA from 1 species
AUGCACAGAAAAUUUCCUCAGAAUCCCCCCAAAUUCCCCCAAAUUCCCCCCAAUCCCCUCCCCCUCCUCACAGGUUGCCGUGCUCGCGCCCCCUCCCCAAAUUCUGGGGGGGUUCCGCCGUUGUUGGGAUCAUCUGUGGGGGAGAGGGGGGCGCAGAGACCCCCAAAAAAUCCUGAGGACCCCCCCAAACCCCUCCAAGACCCCCUCAAAUUCUCCCAGGACCCUCCCAAAACCCCCCAGGAACCCCCAAACCCCCCAGGGACCCCCAAAAUUCCCUCAGGACCCCCACCAGGGACCCCCCCAAACUCCUCUAGGACCCCCCAGGAGCCCCCAAACAACCCGAGGACUCCCCAGGGAUCCCCAAAAUUCCCCCAGGACCCCCAAAGCCCCCCAGGGACCCCCCUAAAACCCCCAGGGACCCCCAAAUCUCCCUGGGACCCCCACAAAACCCCCCAGGACCUCCAAAACCGCCUCAGGAACCCCCAAAAUUCCCCCAGGACCCCCCAAACCCCCCGGGACCCCCCCACGGACCCGCGCCCCCCCUCCGCCACCGCCGGGUCUCGAACUCGUAGAAUUUCUUCUCGUAGAGUUUUCGGGGAGGCCCUGGGGGGGGGCACGGGGUCAGCCCAGGGCUCCCAGUUCAAACCAGUUACCCCUCCCAGUCCCUCCCAGUCAUCCCCAGCCCCUGCCAGUGCUCCCAGUCCAAACCAGUGUCCCCAGUUACCCCUCCCAGUGCAAACCAGUGCUCCCAGUUACCCCUCCCAUUCCCUCCCAGUACUCUCCCAGUCCCCCCAGUUCCCCCCAAUCCCUUCCCAGUGCUCCCAGUCCAAACCAGUGUUCCCAGUUACCCCUCCCAUUCCCUCCCAGUACCCCCAUUCCCCUCCCAGUACUCUCCCAGUCCCCCCAGUCCCCCCAGUCCCCUCCCAGUCCCCCCAAUCCCCUCCCAGUCCCUCCCAGUCCCCCCAAUCCCCUCCCAGUCCCCCCCAAUCCCCUCCCAGUCCCUCCCAGUCUCUCCCAGUGCCCACCCAGGGGCCCGCGCCGGCUCUGGAGUUUCUCCAGCAGCUCCUGGUCCGAGAGGCCCCGAAAACUUUCCAUGGCUGGGGGGGUCCGGGGGGCACUGGGAGUCACUGGGAGUCACUGGGGAGCACUGGGGGGGCACUGGGAGUCACUGGGAGUCACUGGGGAGCACUGGGAGUCACUGGGGGGGCACUGGGAGUCACUGGGAGUCACUGGGGAGCACUGGGGGGGCACUGGGAGUCACUGGGAGUCACUGGGGAGCACUGGGGAGCACUGGGAGUCACUGAAGGGGAACUGGGGGGGCACUGGGAGUAA